ensembl:misc_RNA 7SK 7SK RNA
GGAUGUGAAGGCAAUCUGGCUGUAACUUCUGUCACCCAGUUGAUCUCUAGGCCUAUCUGGCUGGCUAGGCGGGUCCCUUCCUUCUGCACUGCUCUAUGUACGUCCCUCGUGAAGCAAUGUGCUUGGUCAAAGAGGACAAGAGAAUAAUUUUCCAAGACAGAGGUGGACUAUUUCUUUGGUCAGGGCCGUAGAAGUAGCUGUACUCCUUUGCUAGAACCUCCAAACAAGCAAGCUCACUGAAGUUUAUUGCUAGUACUGUGAUGAUACGGGAAGGGAGCGUGGAAGGGAUCCUGAGCGGAAUCCCCACCAUAGAUAGGCACAUUGAGGACCUUAGGCAACCGCGAUACUA